UGUCUCUUGGUGUGAUAACUCAAAGCCAAAGCACCGCUUCAAGUGAAGCUGUUCGUUUGAUACAGUUUCAAAUUGCCUCCUUCCCCCCUGAAUUAUUCAGCCGCUACAUAUACAUGGACUGGACCACCAGAUGAUGGCGAUCUAGAAGUUGGUCCGCCUCUCAGUUUGGACUGUUGCCCUUCUCCGAAGAAAGAGAAAAGGAAAUUUUACUUGGCUUUGCUGUUCCUUCAUCGACCGAAAAGGCCAUUCGGGUUUCACGGAUCUCUGCUAAUGGUGGCCAAGAGGAAUCAAAUUUUUAUAUUAAUCGGAACAACACGCCAAGAUGUUCAAAAUACAAUAAAUAGCGACCAGUAUUAAUCAACAGUAUCGAGAAAGUCGUUAGAUGGGGUUAACUACAUUGACUUCACCAAACAAAUAGACGGCUAAGGUACCCAAAAAGCAACAAAACGGGGUUUCAGGGCCUUACGCCAAAAGUUUCUUCUGAGGGACGCAUGCUAUCAGGGAUAGUUUUGAAAGGAGGAGCGGGGGGCAACUGCUUUUUUUGCAUUCU